UGGUAAAAUAAUACCACCAUACCACACCAAACACAGCAAGCUCAUCUGAUUUUGUAAGUUAAGCAAGGCUGGGCAUGGUUAGUAUUUGGCUGGGAGUCCAGAAGUGAAUAGCACAGAAUCUCCAA
rnacentral:rRNA from 1 species